rnacentral:rRNA from 1 species
AACGCGUGAGAACCUGCCUUUAGGUUCGGAAUAACUCAGAGAAAUUUGAGCUAAUACCGGAUGAUGUCUUCGGACCAAAGAUUUAUCGCCUUUAGAUGGGCCCGCGUUGGAUUAGCUAGUUGGUGGGGUAAAGGCCUACCAAGGCGACGAUCCAUAGCUGGUCUGAGAGGAUGAUCAGCCACACUGGGACUGAGACACGGCCCAGACUCCUACGGGAGGCAGCAGUGGGGAAUAUUGGACAAUGGGCGAAAGCCUGAUCCAGCAAUGCCGCGUGAGUGAUGAAGGCCUUAGGGUUGUAAAGCUCUUUUACCCGAGAUGAUAAUGACAGUAUCGGGAGAAUAAGCUCCGGCUAACUCCGUGCCAGCAGCCGCGGUAAUACGGAGGGAGCUAGCGUUGUUCGGAAUUACUGGGCGUAAAGCGCACGUAGGCGGCUUUUUAAGUCAGGGGUGAAAUCCCGGGGCUCAACCCCGGAACUGCCCUUGAAACUGGGAAGCUAGAAUCUUGGAGAGGCGAGUGGAAUUCCGAGUGUAGAGGUGAAAUUCGUAGAUAUUCGGAAGAACACCAGUGGCGAAGGCGACUCGCUGGACAAGUAUUGACGC